GAAAGAACAAGAUAAACGAAGCUCGCGAGGUCUAUGAAGAGGGCAUUGAUUCCAAUCCCAUGCACGCUCCGCUGUACCACUCGCUCGCCGAACUCGAGGCCCGAAUCUGCAACCUCGAGG
rnacentral:ribozyme from 1 species